rnacentral:rRNA from 1 species
GGAGUUUGAUCCGUGUCUCAGUACCAAUGUGGGGGACCUUCCUCUCAGAACCUCUACUGAUCGUCGGCUUGGUGGGCCGUUACCCCGCCAACAACCUAAUCAGACGCAUCCCCAUCCCUUAGCGGUGAACCUUUGCUUUCCAUCAGAUGCCAUCCAGAAAGAACAUAGAGUAUUAAUCCGACUUUCGCCGGGCUAUGCCCUACUAAGGGGAAGGUUGGAUACGCGUUACUCACCCGUGCGCCGGUCGCCAUCAAUCUGUGCAAGCACAGAUCAUGCUGCCCCUCGACUUGCAUGUGUUAAGCCUGUAGCUAGCGUUCAUCCUGAGCCAUGAUCAAACUCA